GGUUACAGUUGCAGACAACAAACAUAAGCUAACAGAAAAACAAAAGGAUUUUCACCAUACUGGCUCUUGGGACUUGACAGAUUAUAGAUAGAGAGCAAAUCAAUAACACGAAAGCAGUCACAGCAACACAAAAGCAGCCAAACAAAACAACUGUUUAAAUAAUUAAGAGGCCUUGGAAGCUUGUGACUGAACCCAAACAAGAUGAUCAGGCAAUAUGAUCAAAGCUCCAACCUGAG
rnacentral:misc_RNA from 1 species